rnacentral:lncRNA from 1 species
ACAGCCGCAUCUCUCUUUCUCCCUCUUCCUCUCUUUCUUUCUCUGUCAAAUAGCAAAAGUUGCUGCCCGUCACCGUAUUUAGUGAGACGCCGGAGCAGUCGCGUCCCUUCGCCGGCCUCCUAUCUCCGCUCUCGCGUCUCCAGCGGUGGCAAUACCCAUCAGCCACUGCUCCAGCGUCGACUCCAUCUCUGUCGCUCAACCGGCGAAAUCAACAGCCAACUCCACCGUUGGCCACCAAAUCCGAACCAGCCGCCACAACAGCCAAAUUCGGCCGCCGUACCAUCAUUUUGGCCAGCGAAAUCAGUCUUACCGGUGGAAGCCAACCAUGGACGAUGAAUCUCCAACCAACACCGCCAUUGCUCCACCCAUUUCCAAUUAAAAAAUCAGUCCAUUACCAUCGUCACUCCGUUAAAUGUCAACGGAAGAAUCUUAAGUACAUGACGAAUUCACAUGUGAAUUCGUUUUAGGUUUGAUUUCUUUUUUCAAGUUUCGCCAAAAACCCUUUAUGUUGAUUAUUUUUGUUUUGAUUAUUUUUGUUUUACUGAUUCUGUGAUUUGAAAUUAGUGAAAUUUGAUUUUUUUAAUUUUGAUUUGACUCUUUGAUUUCCUGCUUAUUUUUAGUCUUUAAUUGACAUAUGCUAAGUCCAUUAUCGUUUGUUUGGCAAUACUAUUGUUGAAUCAUGAUCUUAGUAAUAUAAUAGUUUAAGUGUAGGUACUUGAAAACUAAAAUUUAGGAAGAGUUUGCCUGAUGAAUGUGAAUCUAGCUACAUUUUUUCGCAUUUAAACUAUCAUCUCUACCAUUUUAGGGACCUAGCUGUUAGUAUAGCUACCAGUCAUCUUCAAUAAUUUCCUUACAUCUAACUAAACUGCUGCAUUGCCUUCGACAACUCAUAGUUAAGAGUUAUUGAUGAAAAGGUGAAUACGAGAUUUUAAUCACGUACUGGCCGAUUAGUGCUGUAUCCAUUAAUUAAUCUUUUACACAGUUGAAUUUUGCUUAGCAAUUAUUUUAAAGCUGUUUGAAUCUAAAGAGUGUUGUCGGGUGUAUGAGCUAGGCUGUUCUGUUCUGAUUGUUCUAGGAGACAUCCUUAUCACAUGAAAAGCUAUGAAAUGUGAGUCAUUAGUCCUGUAUCUUCUUUUUACAUGUUAAUAUUCCUUUAACUGGAACUUGGAAGGAUAGUACUCUCCUUCUAGCAUGAUAUUGCAUAAACAAUAUCUUGAUUUGGUCAGUUCUAUACUUCUAUUAGUUGACAACAUAGGAUUUUCCAAUUUUGCUUAAGAGUGCCCUUUCCUUUGAAAUGUGGACUUGUGUUUUGAAUUUAGUUAAGUGUGGUCACUUGAGAAGUGAAUAAGUACUUGAAAUGUUUAACCGUAGUUACUUGAAAUGUGGACUUGUGUUUUGAAUUUAGUUAAGUGUGGUCACUUGAGAAGUGAAUAAGUACUUGAAAUGUUUAACCGUAGUUACUUGAAAUGUGGACUUGUGUUUUGAAUUUAGUUAAGUGUGGUCACUUGAGAAGUGAAUAAGUACUUGAAAAUGUUUAAGUGUAGGUACUUGAAAUGUGGAGUUGUGUUUUAAUUUUAGUAAAGUGUGGUCACUUGAGAAGUGAGUUAAUGACUUGAAAAUGUUCAAGUGUAGGUACUUGAAAUGUGGACUUGUGUUUUGAAUUUAGUUAAGUGUGGUCACUUGAGAAGUGAAUAAGUACUUGAAAAUGUUUAAGUAUAGUUACUUGAAAUGUGGACUUGUGUUUUGAAUUUAGUAAAGUGUAGUCACUGGAGAAGUGAAUUAGUGACUUGAAAAUGUUUAAGUGUAGGUACUUGAAAUGUGAACUUUUAUUUUGAAUUAAGUUUAGUUUGAUAACUUGUGAAGUGAAUUAGUGACUUGAAAAUGUUUUGGUGUAGGUACUUGAAUUGUGAACUCUUUAUUUUGAAUUUAGUUUAGUUAGGUAACUUGUGAAGUGAAUUGAUGUCUUGAAAUGUUUAAGUGUAGUUACUUGAAUUAUGAAUUAGUGACUUUUGUUUUAAAUUUAGGCACUUGAAAUGUGAACUUGCGUUUUGAUUUUAGUAAAGUGUGGUCACUUGAGAAAUGAAUUAGUGACUUCAAAAUGUUUAACUGUAGAUAUUUGAAACGUGAACUUUUCAUUUUGAAUUAAGUUUAGUUUGGUAACUUCUGAAGUGAAUUAGUGACUUGAAAAUGUUUAGGUGUAGGUAUUUGAAAUGUGAACUUUUGUGACUUGAACUAAUUACUUGAAUGUGAUUGAUUGUGUAGAUGAAACCUGAUUAUAGUUGGAUGUAUCAACGAAAUAUUAAUAAUAAAAUGGGUGAGGCUGAGAAUGAAGAUGCGGAUGAUGAGUUGUAUUUUUUAGUCUUUUGUAUGUUUUAUAGUUUGGAUUUGGAAUCUCGAUAAAUUUUGUAAAUAAUUUGAUUUUUAAUGUUUGUAUUCUUAUGGUGGUUGGUUGAUUGUAUAUUAAAUGUUUGGCGGACUGUAUUGUAAAUAAUUUGAUUUUUAAUGUUUUUAAAUGAUUGGUGGGCUGUAUUGUAAAUAAUUUAAUUUUUAAUUUUGUAAAUAAUUUGAUUUUUAAUGUUUGUAUUUUGGAAAUUUUUAAUAU